rnacentral:rRNA from 1 species
UACAUGGGGUGCAAACGUUGCUCGGAAUCAUUGGGCGUAAAGCGCGCGUAGGCGGUUGCUUAAGUCGGAUGUGAAAGCCCUCGGCUUAACUGAGGAAGUGCAUCCGAAACUGAGCAGCUAGAGUACGAAAGAGGGUCGCGGAAUUCCCGGUGUAGAGGUGAAAUUCGUAGAUAUCGGGAGGAACACCGGUGGCGAAGGCGGGUUGCUGGGCCGACACUGACGCUGAAGCGCGAAAGCUAGGGGAGCGAACGGG